rnacentral:rRNA from 1 species
CCUACGGUGAGCAGCAGUGAGGAAUAUUGGUCAAUGGGCGGACGCCUGAACCAGCCAAGUAGCGUGCGGGAUGAAGGCCCUACGGGUCGUAAACCGCUUUUGCACGGGGAUAACACCCUCCACUUGUGGAGGUCUGCAGGUACCGUGCGAAUAAGGGCCGGCUAAUUCAGAGCCAGCAGCCGCGGUAAUACGGAAGGCCCGAGCGUUAUCCGGAUUCAUUGGGCUUAAAGGGAGCGUAGGCGGGCGUUCAAGUCAGCUGUAAAAUCGCGCGGCUCAACCGCGCCCCGCAGUUGAAACUGGACGCCUUGAGUUCACAACAGGCAGGCGGAAUUCGUGGUGUAGCGGUGAAAUGCAUAGAUAUCACGAGGAACCCCGAUUGCGAAGGCAGCCUGCCGGGGUGCGACUGACGCUGAGGCUCGAAGGUGCGGGUAUCAAACAGGAUUAGAUACCCCGGUAGUC